rnacentral:misc_RNA from 1 species
UCCUGGUUAACCCAGGCAGUCUCGCUAGAGUUCCCAGCUUUACCUGUUGGCAACUAACGAUAAGGGUUGCGCUCGUUGCGGGACUUAACCCAACACCUCACGGCACGAGCUGACGACAGCCAUGCAGCACCUGUUCACCGGCUCCGAAGAGCGUAAACAUUUCUGCUUACUUCCAAUGUAUGUCAAGUCUGGGUAAGGUUCUUCGCGUUGCAUCGAAUUAAACCACAUACUCCACUGCUUGUGCGGGUCCCCGUCAAUUCUUUUGAGUUUCACCCUUGCGAGCGUACUCCCCAGGCGGUAUACUUAUCGCGUUAGCUUCGACACAACUAGGGUUGAGUCCAGUUACAUCAAGUAUACAUCGUUUACAGCAAGGACUAC